rnacentral:lncRNA from 1 species
UCUUCCCAACCCAGGGAUUGAACCCAGGUCUCCCGCAUUGCAGGAGGAUUUACCACGGGAAAGCCCAGUCUUUCUCUGACCCUGCCUCUAUCACGCUGAGCAGACCUCACCUGGAACUCAGAUGCCUCUGCAUUUCUGCACUGUGCUGUCCACCUCGUCCUAACAGGGGAACAGAAAAUCAUGUUGCUAUCAGUGGGAAGUGGUCAGAGCUCCAUCCACUGGAGGAGACACACCCUUGUUGUCACACCAAGGCCUGAAAAUAAAGCUUGGAGUGUUUCCAUCCUUCUCCACUCGCUGAUGCUGAGGAUGCUUGCAUAUGAGGCCAUAAAGUUCUACAUGACGCCUUUCUUCCAUCUGGUGUGCUUUGGUGGUGUCUGGGGCCUCUAGUUCGGGGUAAGCAUCAAAACCCCUGACCACAACUAUUGGUACCAGCUUCAAACACACAGCACCCACCCUCACGCCUCAACUGAUGAGGGAUUUGUCCAAGAGCCUGGGCGUCAUGAUUCCCAGGCUCCAAGCCUCACAGGUGACUCACAGAUAGCCCCAGGUAGUGCCUCCUGGCCUCAGUUUCCCUGGCUUGCCCUGUUGAUACUCCCCACCUACUGUGUACAGUGUUAAUAGGGGUG